rnacentral:rRNA from 1 species
UCUAAGUUUGAUGGCGACCGGCGCACGGGUGAGUAACACGUAUCCAACCUGCCGAUGACUCGGGGAUAGCCUUUCAAAAGAAAGAUUAAUACCCGAUGGCAUAGUUCUUCCGCAUGGUAGAACUAUUAAAGAAUUUCGGUCAUCGAUGGGGAUGCGUUCCAUUAGGUUGUUGGCGGGGUAACGGCCCACCAAGCCUUCGAUGGAUAGGGGUUCUGAGAGGAAGGUCCCCCACAUUGGAACUGAGACACGGUCCAAACUCCUACGGGAGGCAGCAUG